rnacentral:tRNA from 1 species
GCGGAAGUGGCGGAACUGGCAGACGCACUGGAUUCAGGGUCCAGUUCCAUUAUAGGAGUGGGGGUUCAACUCCCCCCUUCCGCA